AAAAAAUCAUAGACCAGAGAAAUGAAAAUUUAGAGGGGCUGAUAAAAUACCCUAUCCUUAAUUAGACUGUCGGCAUACACAUCAAAUCAGCCUUAAUGCCAAGAUUUAUUGGCCUUGGAAUUGGGUAAAUGAAAUAAGUGCUUACAAAUGAAUGGAAAAGAAAUUACCUGUAUUAAAACAUAUUUGUGAUGCAGGCCUGUGCACUGAGGCUUUUAGUCAAACUCAGGCUUGCAGCUUCUUUUGCUCUGCAUCCAUUUCCACCCCAUGUUCCCCAGUGGGUUUCAGAGACCCUCUUUGUGGGGUAACAAUAUGUACGAUUGUCAACUACCUCUGCUGUUGUCCUGGAAAAAUCCUUCUUGGACAGUAAAAUAUUUUUGUCUUUAUUUCACCAUCUCCAGAUUAGAAGGGUGUUACUGAUUCUUACCUCAGAGAAGAGAAUGUCAUGGAGACAAAAUGACCUGCUUAGAGUUCUGCGCCCCCCAGCAUGGAGAGCAGAGCGCAAAGAUUUCCUCCAGACUCCCACAUUCUCCCUUGGAAUCCAAGAACUUGUCUACUAUCACAACACUUUAGUACCCACUUCUCCUAAGGAGGCAGCAGAAACCAAGGUAAUCACAAUGGUCAACAGCAGCGAAGGCAGCACUUUCUGAUUUUAAACUUGACUGCUAUGGAUGCCACCUCAGUUUAAU
rnacentral:antisense_RNA from 1 species